ACUGCACACUAUUAAAGCUCAGAGUGGAGGCCAUGCUUGGCCAGUGAACUUCUGAGUGUCGGAAGUGUGCUACAUUGAAUGAGGCAGGAUUUUCGCUAACACCAGUAGAGCGUGCCUCUAUGACUGGAGUUGAUAGUGGUCUCUGCCACAUAU
ensembl:snoRNA SNORA62 Small nucleolar RNA SNORA62/SNORA6 family